UUCUCCAUGGUUGUGGAUUGGCAUCAGCGUCUCUGUGGGCCUUAUUACAGCUUUUACUGCUUUUGCUCUCUUCAUGUUACGGACAUGGAAAGAUAAGGGAGGAAAUGCAACAGGUUCUGAUAAUGAGGUUGCCCAUCCACCUAAUCAAGCCAAAGCUCAGGCCCUCAUUUACACCUCGGUGUCCUGCCCCUCCCAGCAUGUUUUAUCAAAUAGGGUCAAUCAAACCCCCCAGGAUG